rnacentral:rRNA from 1 species
UACAGAGGUCUCAAGCGUUGUUCGGAUUCAUUGGGCGUAAAGGGUGCGUAGGUGGCGUGGUAAGUCGGGUGUGAAAUUUCGGAGCUUAACUCCGAAACUGCAUUCGAUACUGCCGUGCUUGAGGACUGGAGAGGAGAUUGGAAUUUACGGUGUAGCAGUGAAAUGCGUAGAGAUCGUAAGGAAGACCAGUGGCGAAGGCGGGUCUCUGGACAGUUCCUGACACUGAGGCACGAAGGCCAGGGGAGCAAACGGG